rnacentral:lncRNA from 13 species
UCUCCUCUUUGCACACUCUGUUCUCUGCUUUAUAUCUCUGAUUAAUAAAACAUAGACAAAAUCAAAGCAUAACAUUUUGAAAUGUAUUUAUUCAAAAUUCUUUGAGUUCUAAGAAAAGCAUUUUUGACAUCAUAAACUGUAGUGAGAUGAAAAAGAAAGUCUCUAGAAUUCAUAUCAUGUGACAGAAAUGCUGACAGGCUUGUCAGAACAAAGUCAACCUCAUUUUAAACAAUCUUACCUGGCUCAACAAAAGCCUGAUCACAGACAAGUUAGUGAUAUAACCGUUCAGACUUUUCAGGGGGGACUGUAAAAACUUUAAAGGGAUGGUGUGAGAUUGGAGUUUUUCGACUUACCCAAAGUCAGAUGAAUUCAUGGAUAUGAUUUGAAUGUCUCUGUGUCCAGUAUGUCUAGGUAUUAGCUCUGGCCUCAGACAUGAGCCUUCAGGUCACAAACACAAAUAUUUUCCCUAGAGAUCUCAGAUCUCAGCACCGAUUGACAGAUUGAAGGAUAUGGUAUCACCACUAUAAGUGUGGAAUUAUAUAUAUAUAUAUAUAAUUACACAUUAUUUAUUUUCAGAGUUAAUUGGUGUUAAAAUAUCAAGGAUUCCCCCCUCAUUAAUGUGUUUAUUUGCUUUCAUAAAGUUAAUUCCAUUGCAGACAUUACGUCUCAUUAAAAACAUUGAUGAGGGGAGAAUCCUUGAUAUUUUAACACCAAUUAACUCUGAAAAUAAAUCAUGUGUAUAUAAUUCCACACUCAUAGAAGUGAUACCAUAUCCUUCAAUCUGUUCCACAUAUGUUCCAAUGGAGACAAACCUCAGACAAACUGGUAGAAAAAGGGCAGAUUUAUUUAAAGCACUUUGUCCCCUACAUAGAAAAAUAUGAUUGAUUUGAGUCGACAAUAAUAAAUAGAGUGCCUGACUAUCCUCAGGCCCCAUUGGUAACGUACAGCAGUACAAUCAAUAUCCAGUUACACAAUACAGCAAAGGCACUAGCAUUUACUGCAAUCAGAACAGUCGACAGGGGUUGUGCGAGGCAUGGAAGGUGGCAGGGGAGGUGGUGUCUGGAUCCAUCUCUUGGAAGCCAAUUCAAUGGCAGCUCUGUAUGUACCUAACCCAUAGUAGUCAUGUAGGGUAUGUGCCCAGCCCAUAGUGAUGUAUUAUAUGGAACCGUUCAGUCAUUACAAAGUCAUCACAGUAGCAAAUAGGCUUGAACACUUGUGCCGUUUCUUGUGACUGUAGGUGUAUACCUAUUAUUUGGUAUUUGGAGUUGUAGGUUCAUUGGGGUUGAAAGGUUGAUUUGUUACUGCCCGGUUGUCCCAUGGAUUAUGUGUGGUGUUCAAAACAGUAGUAGUAGCAUAUAGAGAUUUAGGAAGGGGUUGGUAUUAGAGAAAGAAGGGAUGGUUUGUGAGAACAGGAGUGGGUUUCAGCAUGGUGUACGAAAAAAAACAAGGAAUGGGUAAAUAGAAAAAGGAAUGAAGUUUUAAAGGAAAGGGGAAAUGUUUGGUAAAUGACAAGGUUUGUUACAGUAGAUGGCACAUAACAGUGUAUCACUCAUCUAGACAUGGCACUGGUAAUACUCCAAUCGCUCAUGGAAUUUCAGAAGUGAUUUUUAACAAUUCAACAGGCGGUUUAUUUGCAGCCAUUUAAUUUCUAGCGAGGUGCUUUUUUUGAUGCUAUUUAAAAAAUAUUGGGGUCUGGUUGCGGUGGUCCCAAUCAGUUGUGACUUGUAUUUUUUGGCUGAAUUUGGGCUCAUAUUUGGCUUAAAGGGGAUAAAUAUAUGCACGAAGAAAAAAUAUAUAUUAAAAUUAACACAUAUAUAGUACCAGUCAAAAGUUUGUACACACCUACUCAUUCAAGGGUUUUUCUUUAUUUUUUACUAUUUUCUACAUUGUAGAAUAAUAGUGAAGAUAUCAACUAUGAAAUAACACUUAUGGAAUCAUGUAGUAACCAACAAAGUGUUAAACAAAUCAUAAUAUAUUUUAUAUUUGAGAUUUUUCAAAUAUGACAGCUUUGUACACUUUUGGCAUUCUCUCAACCAGCUUCAUGAGGUAGUCACCUGGAAUGCAUUUUAAUUAACAGGUGUGCCUUAUGUUCAUUUGUAGAAUUUAUUUCCUUCUUAAUGUGUUUGAGCCAAUCAAGUGCCGUCUUCAGUAUUAUUCUACAAUGUAGAAAAUUGUAAAAAUAAAGAAAAACCCUUGAAUGAGUAAAUGUUCUAAACAUUUUGACUGAUAGUGUAUGUAUGCCAUAUUUGUUUGUUAUUAAUUGAUAAUCAUUUACAUUGAGAAAAAUACUGAUAUCAUUAAAUAUCUUAUUAAAUAUAAUGGAAAAUUAUAAGGCUUAAAUGUUUCUCCAGUUCGAUUGGUCACUCCGAACGUGAUUCCGACUCGUUCCCUUGAAGAGACCAGGGAAGAUGCAACUUUCUUUUCUUUCAGUUCUGCGUUUCCCCAAAUUCCUGUCAUUGAGUUCCAGGUACAGAUAUCCCAUGUGGACGGAUUGGUUUGAAAUGUAUUUUCCUCAGAAAAGGCCCUGAUUGUCAGAACAAAUCAUGAUAAUCGUCACUUACUCCCAGACUUAAAUCAGUCAACCACUCAUUCCUUUCAGAGAAACGUCUUCCCAGUGAGCCCAAUAUCGUGUGACCACUGUCAUGUCUGAUCUGUUUGGUUCUUUGUUUUUAUUCCAGUUUGGGUCAUAACCCAUUGUAGCAUAGUUGGGUGGGUCAUCCCAGCCCAAACCACCCCAGAAAGUUUAGCUAACACAUCUCCAGAAUGUUCUACAAGCCUUUAAAGCUAUUCAAGCUUAGUAGUGAUAUUGGCUGAUAGUUGCCAGUAUUCCCAAACCCCUGUAGACUUGCGAGGCAGCAGCAUGGGGGCCAUUCGGGCCCUAGGUAUGAAGCCCAG